AUUGAACGCUGGCGGCAGGCUUAACACAUGCAAGUCGAGCGAGCGGCGGACGGGUGAGUAAUGUCUGGGAAACUGCCUGAUGGAGGGGGAUAACUACUGGAAACGGUAGCUAAUACCGCAUACGAUCAGAUGUGCCCAGAUGGGAUUAGCUAGUAGGUGGGGUAAUGGCUCACCUAGGCGACGAUCCCUAGCUGGUCUGAGAGGAUGACCACCGAAACUGGAACUAUGACCCGGUCCGAAGUCCUACGGGAGGCGGAAGGGGGGAAUAUUUCACAAUGUGCGCAAGCCUGAUGUAGCCAUGCCGCGUGUGUGAAGAAGGGCUUCGGGUUGUAAAGCACUUUCAGCUAGGAGGCGUUACUCGCAGAAGAAGCACCGGCUAACUCCGUGCCAGCAGCCGCGGUAAUUC
rnacentral:rRNA from 1 species